UACGUAGGGUGCGAGCGUUGUCCGAAAUUAUUGGGCGUAAAGAGCUUGUAGGCGGUUUGUCGCGUCUGCUGUGAAAAUCCGGGGCUCAACCCCGGACUUGCAGUGGGUACGGGCAGACUGGAGUGUGGUAGGGGAGACUGGAAUUCCUGGUGUAGCGGUGGAAUGCGCAGAUAUCAGGAGGAACACCGAUGGCGAAGGCAGGUCUCUGGGCCACUACUGACGCUGAGAAGCGGAAGCAUGGGGAGCGAACAGG
rnacentral:rRNA from 1 species